rnacentral:rRNA from 1 species
CCAGACUCCUACGGGAGGCAGCAGUGAGGAAUAUUGGUCAAUGGUCGGGAGACUGAACCAGCCAAGCCGCGUGAGGGAUGAAGGUACAGAGUAUCGUAAACCUCUUUUGUCAGGGAACAAAGGCGGGGACGUGUCCCCGGAUGAGUGUACCUGAAGAAAAAGCAUCGGCUAACUCCGUGCCAGCAGCCGCGGUAAUACGGAGGAUGCGAGCGUUAUCCGGAUUUAUUGGGUUUAAAGGGUGCGUAGGCGGAGUGUCAAGUCAGCGGUAAAAUUUCGGGGCUCAACCCCGUCGUGCCGUUGAAACUGACGCCCUUGAGUGAGUGAGAAGUAAGCGGAAUGCGUGGUGUAGCGGUGAAAUGCAUAGAUAUCACGCAGAACGCCGAUUGCGAAGGCAGCAUGCCGGCUCCACACUGACGCUGAGGCACGAAAGCGUGGGUAUCGAACAGGAUUAGAUACCCCUGUA